CCCUGCAAAUUAGAAUUUCAAGAGUGAAGAGUAUUUUUGAGCUUUUAAUUUUCAGCGCCACAGAACUGGAAAAGAGAAAACCUGACUGAUUAUCACAAGUUCUGAGAACCUGCAGCUCCCACUGAAACCCCCAGGACAGAGGUAUCUAAAGCCUCAAACUCACACUAUUAAAAACUACAUCUGAAAAUUUAGCCACUUAUUUUUCUGUGCUUCACUUCACCCUUCAGCAGGGUUGGGGUGAGAUGUAAUACAAUAUUUUCUUAUUUUAUAGGGGGCUUGGGAUGCUUAAUUUUUAAAUCUCUCAGAUGUGCUGCGGAACAACUAAGUAAUGGUGGAUUUUUUUCUUGUGUAUUUCUAUAACUAUUCAUGUUUGACUACAAGUGGCAUAGCAGUAUCUUUUUACAAUGACUCCAGAAGAAAAGGACUCCCCAGGUCACUUCCUGAAGAAUAAUGACCAGCUGAGAGAACUAAUGGCCUGAGGCAAAGAUGAGGGUCAUUAGCAGGGAGACUGCCAUCAAGUCUCCAGGAAAUGCACUGGUCUGGAGUCAUUAAUGAAAUUAUAGUAAAUUAUUUGUUGAGAGAGGGAUUACUCAGACAAUAUAAACAUUUUCCUUAA